GUGGCCGGGCGGGGGCCGGGCCAGGCCUGCCGCGUCUCCCGUCUCCCGGCCGGGAGAUGGGGCCUGCGGGAGCUUGCUCUGAGCCAAGCUAGGCCGGGCCGGUUCCUGGCUUAGCUGCAGGUUUUGCCGUGAUGGAAUUUACCAGAAACUGCCGAGUAAAGAAGGAGAAGAGCUCUAAGCCUGCUGCAAGCAGAGACACUAACUACACUCUCUACAGCAGCUAUGAGGAACUUUUCAUCGCAGACGGCUCCAGCUCCUGUUCAGCAGAGAUCACCGAACCAUCUACAAAAGCUUGGGCAAGAUUUUAACUUUUUCUUAUCCAGAUGAGACUUGCGGAUUAAUCUUUUUAUCCAGAGAGAGAAAAGGAGAGUGAUCAACAUGGAAAGAGACUUUAUAAACUACUAGUGGGAAGAAAGAAAAAAGCGUCAAGAAAGCAAAACAAGGAGGCAAUGCAGCGCUGGGCGACAGGGGGUUUUUCUAUCCCGCCAACUGCCGCGCAUACUGAGGUUUCAGUCAGUCUUUUUAAGAUGUUCACGAGCCUUUUGCGCAUGCUUCGGGGUUGUUGUUGAAACAUCUUGCUUCACUUCUAUUCUUCUUCCUGGAAAGUCCCGCGCCUGGUCUGUACGAAAACAACCCCGACCACAACUUGCGAAAAGCUUUCUACAUUAGCUUGCGAAGGAAAAGAGAGCAAAAAAAAGAAAAAAAAAACAACCAACCACAUCCUGAUUAACUGACGAACAUCAUCCCAAUUAAUCCCAGUUAUUGAACAAACAUAACUCAUAACACGUAAGCAUCUCAAUGAUUUCAUCGUUGUUUGUUGAACUCAGCCUUUUGAUGGAAACUCCAUGGAAGCUACAAAACCUGGCCUGUGGUUUGCUGGAGUUGUAGUUGCAGAAUUUCUGUCUUCAAUAGGUCUAGAAGUGGUACAGACUGAAAACAGCAUUGAAAAGCAAACCAGAAAAUCCACAAGGAGCACUUGAUUUGUCAUCAGAGGGACACUCCCAGUAGGGCAGAGUUCAGUUGCUUUGUUAAAUCUAUGUCUUGUCUCUUUUGGAGGUUGAACUUGCAAAUAACAAGGUUUUUUACCCUGGAGGCAUGUCUAGAGUGUGCAGUCUUGCAAGUGGUGCUGUGCUUGUAGAGACAGGUGCCUUGAGAUGGUCUUUGCACAUUUCUUCUGCACAUACACGUGGUAGCUGCAAACCUUGGGAUGUCUUUGGAAAGAUUCCUGCUUGAGUCUCUAAAGAUGUGAGCAUUGUUUUUCAAAAGCGAGUUAGAAAAUUCUGCCCAGUUGCUGUUGGAAAAAUCUGUACUGUGUUUCAAGUUGGGGCUUAGGCUGAAACUUUUGUGUGGACUGAGCCAUGAGAGCAAAUACACUUUUGGAAAUGAAAUGCCCACCCCAAAGCUUACCAGUUGUAUUGAACAUACUGUGACUAUUGCUGUUUCUGUCCAGUUUUAGUACCCCUUUGACACUUCUGUUUAUACUUCUGCUACACCAUGUAGUAACACAGAACCUCUAGAACAAAGUGGCCAUCCUCUUUCUAAACCCUGGGACUGGCUACUGUGGAGAAGAUCACAUGUGCCCAUCCCAUGAUAAAAUGUUGUAUCUUUUUCGGAGUCAUUUGCUGUGUGAAAAAAGCUCUAAAAGGACUUGUUCAAGCCCAUACAUUUGGUGUUUUUUGGAUAUUGAAAGAUCUUAUAAUCAAGAUGCUACUUUUCUGCAGGAGAAAGAAAAGAUACUUCCAUUGCCUCUACCUGCUCUGCAACAGCCAACCAACCAGACUACUUGAGAUGCUGCUUCAUCGAAUCCUAGCAGAUUAUCAGCAGAUACAACAGGAUAGCCCAAGCUACUUUGAAAUGAAGAACAGGUGCCUGUACCUCCACAGCAAGCUGUCACAUAUUCAGAGCCUCAUAUCUGAAUUUGACAAGCAGUAGGUGGAGUUCUGGCACCAGGCAAGUGCUUCAGCCAAAAAUAUCUAUGAACUCUGGACUUUUUAUUUAAACCAGAAGAUUAGGCUUUUAGGAUUAUUUACUUUAGUAUUAAACAGUAGGUUCUGUUAGCAGUAAGCAGUUGGUUAGUUUCUAA